rnacentral:lncRNA from 1 species
GUUAAAGUGUGCUUUGUUAUAAUCUGAGGUUAGAAAAAAAAAAUCUUAUGUUAAUGCAUGUGGAGUUGUUUUCUGCUAAUGAAAUGAACUAUUUCUAUUUACAGAGUUUUAUUAUAGCUUUUAUAAAUAUAGAGUUGCUAAUUGCUUAUUCUGUAAGUCCUUUGAAUGAAAGAUGUGUGGCUUGUUGCUCCUUUCGUAAAGAUACUUCAUUCUUUUUACUUCUGUUGUGAGUGAGUGGGUGUAAGUGAUCGUAUGUCUGAAUGCAUCGCAUACUUUUGUCUCGAAUAACUGAGGAACGUUGCAUGGUGUAUCUGUUGCAAUGCCGGCCAGUGCUAACAUAAAAAAAUGUUGCGAAACGUUCCGUCAGCUGUGGAACUGUGGCGA